rfam:Brachypodium distachyon strain Bd21 chromosome 1, whole genome shotgun sequence.
UUAUUACUUUCUCCGUCCAACAAAAGAUGUCUUAAAUUUGUCAAGAUGUAUCUAGACAUGACUUAGUGUAUAGGUGCAUUCAAAUUUAUUCAAUGUUGAGACAUCCUUUGUUGGACGGAGAAAGUAUUAA